UCCUGCGCCGCGCGCCCGCGCCCUCUCCGCCCCCGCCGAGGAUGGAGGCUGCCGCAGCCGGAUUCGCAACCGGCGCGCGGGCGGCAGCCGCGGCGCGUCCCUUCGGCCUCGACCUCCAGGCGGCGGCCGGAGGCGUGCGACGACCCCGCCGGGCCAUCCCCAUGCCCGCAGCGGGCCCCCACGGCGGCCACCUCCCCUUCGCCACGGCGCCGUCGACCCUCUACGCGGCGUACGGAGGUGAGAACCGAUCAUGAAACUCCGUAGAGACCUUGCAAUGUACCUUGCUUGGGAGAUGCUUAGACAACUCCGUGGGCUUACUUGCAGCGGAGCCUCGUCGGCCGCCACGGCUGGAGUUCGGCCGCGUCGUGACGGAGUUUGAUUCGGCUCUGACGAUCGAUUCGCACCUGGUGCGGGUACCCGUGACCCGUCCCUCCUCCAUGGCCCCGGCGGGACCAUGCUACGAGCACCUUGGCUGCGGCCGCCCGGUGUCCCUGCUCCCGCUCCGAACUCGGGUCGAUCCUCUCGUUCCAAUCAUACACGCCGCCGUAAGAUGCUUUGUAAUCAUCUACAUGUGUCCCUUGUGAACGAUCUCGUGCAGGAGCUCGUCGCACUCACUCUUCCCGCCGUUCAGCAGCGGCCGUGGGACUCGGAGGUGAACCCCGCUGGCUGAUGGCGGCGGCUGCGGUGGGACGACGCGGCCGAUCCAGUGGCUUUGCCAACCCCUAUGCUGGCGUGCCUCCCCAAGGCCGGCGCGUGUAUGCUCAGGGGGAGAGCAAUGGUGCUCCGUCGGAAUCUGACAGGAAUGGGCACAAGGAACCAAGAACAGUGGAUGAGUUGAUGGAAGCAUACCCAAGAUGCACCUCCUUCUUCAAGUUGGUCACCGUAGUGCUGUGUCUCGGGCUGUGCUUCUUGUCCGCAAAGGGUGAUCCAAGGGCAGCCUUGAUGGUCACGACAUCGAAGGAUGCAGCCGAGGUCUACAAGUUCCUUUGUGACGUCCUACUUAUCUUGAAGAAGCUGUUCUUUCCAUGAUCUAGAUCGAAGAGGUGAUGGGUGACAGUGUGAUUUCCUUGGAACCUGAAGAAAGGCGCUACAAGGGUCAGAUACAGAUAUCAGAUAGAGCAUAGAAGAUACCUCAAGUGGCCGGCCAAAUCCGAUAACAUAGGAGCAAUGCCAAGCCAACGCCAUCGACUGACUGCAAACUCCAGUACCUCGGCAAAGAACGCUGCGACCGUGCCAUCAACGAAUUGGCAUGCGAUGCAUUACCGUGCAAGAUGAAGCAAGCACCGGCGCGGUUACGCCUCCAUGGCGCGACGCAUCGAGAAGGCGUCGAUCGUGGCGGCGCGAGGCGUCGGAAGCAGCACGCCGUCUGCGCGGGCGCAGCCGCAGCGACAUGUAGCGGCACAGCAGCUGGGCGCGACUGCGGGUUGCGCCUGACACAGCGUCAACAACGCGGACUGCAGCGGCAGCGCGGUGGCGGCAUGACUGACGCGGCCUGUCCAGAAAGCAAGGAGGCCACGCGAGAGGAGUUGCCUCUCCAAGUUUCCAUCGGCGCUGAGCGCAGCGAUGUAUGAAAAAGACGACGAAAAAGAACAACCAUCACCGCACGUCCACCGGCCGUCCACAAGAAGAGACUACAAGCAGGACCAAGAAGCUCCAUCGAUGUUCUCCAUUGAUGAGAAACUUGGCUAAACUAUCAGCUUCAGUAUUAGCAGCUUGGCCUUCAAAGGUGAACUUGGAGUUGAACAUUACUACCCGCUGCUUAACCUCGUUGAUAAUGGCACCAUAUAUAGCUCCCAUGUGUACCUCUAUCAAUGUCGAUCACUAUUUGCUUCGAAUCUGAGGCGAUGAUGAAGUUUCUUAUUGGAAACCGCUCCUCCUCUGCCGCUUGGGUGGGGUGACGAAAGGCCGGAGAGGGCCACCAUGGUCCUAAUGAGCUGGGCCAAUGCUCAAGAACUUGCCGUAAUAAAUCAAAAAAGGAAAAUGGGAAAAAAGAAAAGAUGAAGUGGCACACUGAUUUGGGCAAUGUAAUGUUAAUGAUGCUUGCAAUGAGGACUCGUAUGCUUGGUACUAUGAUAGCAGGGGGCAGUUUUCAGUCAAGUCAGCCUAUAAGGUGUACAUAAAAGGAAGAGACAUGAACCUGCCAGGAGCGUCAAACACCCCCGCAACUACUUGGGAAUGGAAGGAUAUUUGGUCAAUACCUUGCCAGCCUAAGAUUCAGCAGUUUAUGUGGCGUUUUGCACAUAACAGUCUACCUUUAAGGAUGAAUAUGAAGGGAAGGGGCAUUGAGUGUGACACCCUAUGUGUUUGUUGCCGGCGGCUAGACGACACUAGUAGAAAAAGGGUCAUCUGUCCCGGUUGGUAAGGGCCUUUUGUCCCGGUUGUUGAACCGGGACUAAAGGGUCGUUACU